rnacentral:lncRNA from 1 species
UAAAUUGGCGGUUAGCCCUCUCUAGCAAUCCUAAUAUGAUAGAUAUAUUUCAGGAUGGGAUAACAAGGGUGCUUGAAUAUGCAAUCCUAUGAUCAAGUUCUAGUUAGUUAGGCUAAAACAAGCAAUGAAUACAAAUCUAUCAUGAAUAUCACAACAAGGCAGAUCUAUAGUUUGGGGCUAAUCUCACAAACCUAUCUGAACCCUGGAUCUAAUAGUUGAACUACUCAGACAUAGCAAAGCAAUUCAUAUCAAUAGAUAAAUAGAAACUCAUAGAAUAAAUGAUAAGAAAAUGAAACAAGGAGUUCCAAUCACAAGUGAUCUUCUCUCCAAAUGAAACUUGUAACAAAACUAGGUCUAGAAAAGAAAAGCUCUCUCUGCCGUCAAACACUUAGGCAGUAUAUAUUCUACUAGGUUAAAAACUCGUCAGGGCAUUUUGGUAAUUUGGCUUGGCCUUGGUCUUUAAGUCUGCUGAAUCCAAAAUGUCGCAUCUGGUGUCUCGACAUCGAUCGAUGGUACUUGUGUACAUCGAUCGAUAUUAAUCUUCAUCUGUCGAGGCAUUUUCUGAUAUCGAUCGUCAGCACUGAUGCGCAUCGAUCAAUUAUUCUUCCUCUCGCCGACCUCUAAGUGGUCAGCUCGGGUGAAAUGUCAUUUAUGCUCCAAAAUGCUCCAAAGUCAUAGCUUUACUCCGAAAUGCACCUGAACCUGAAAACAUACCUAGAAGAGUAGAAAACAUAGAUAUAUAUAUAGUAAAAUAAUAAUAUACCAUGGAUAAAAAUGUGUCAAAUCCAAGGUAUAUCAACUCCCCCAGACUUACCCUUUUGCUUGUCCUCAAGCAAAACAUACAGGCAGUCUGUUUGAAAAUAUUUGGGAACUUAAGAUUUUAAAAACAUAGAAAUCUUUCCUCAACAAUUUUGCAACCACAUUUAAAAAGUCCUAAUCACAAAAGCACACUAUGCAAUAUCCUAGCUUAGCAACCAUUUCUAACAUAACACAACUCAUCAAUUCACGUCUGACAUCCCCUCUAUUGAUUUCAUUUCUUAGCAUAAAUAUAAAGUGAAUGCUUUACCUUGGGAGUAUCGAUCACAGGAUGCAAGGAUUUCAGACAGGUAUCUGGAGCUGCAGGUAAAAGUUAGUUCCUAGUUUCUCUCUCUCUAAAUUUCUCUCUUGAGUCAAAGUCUACUUCCAUUGCAGGAUCAGUGACCAAGAUUGGAUAGGCUUCCAUGAAUCAAAACUUAAUGGUGGUUGCCACCAAGUUCUGUUCACUUCUUUUUGACCUUUAUCCAAGAGUUCUUUGCGAAAGCGAGCCUUGAAGAUUGCCGCCUCCAAGUUCCGUUUCGAACUCUUUUAUUUGAGUCUUUAUGAAUCAAGCCUUAAUGGUUUUAGCCACCAAGUCCUGUUCAGACUCAUCCUAAUUAAACAAUAGAUCUUACUUAUUUUUUUUAUUAUUAUUAUUUUUUUUUAUAUACUCUAUGACUAAUCUAGAGAGAGAAAAUGUGAUAAAUAAUCUAAACCAGGCGUUACCUUCCAGACCUAUCUGAAGAAUCCGAUCCCAUGUAUACCAAGCCCCAAGACAAGCGGUUAUGUCAGGUUUAGUGUUGGAAAUCAGCUUUGGUUACUUCAUACGGUUCAAGGCAAGUGUGUAGUUGAUAGGUUGAUCCGCUUUAGCAUCUUUAGUGCUAUCUGCAAUCAAUAAAUCUAAAAUGGUGCUAAAGAUUGGUUAGAUAUUCAUGUUUAAACCAAUAUAAGAUUAUAGUCCCUAUUUUCGAUAGCUAAGCAUAAUUUAUUUGAAAUUCCUUUUUACGUAAGAAUAAAAUAAAUUAUAUCAUUAAAUCUCCCCCCAGACUUAAAUUACACUGUUCCAGUGUAACUCAGCUGGAGUUAUGAUGAAAAGUGUAUGAUGUACGAAAUGUAACAAGUAGGUAAGAUACAUCUGACCGGAUUAAAUAUCGAUCGAUGGGUAAGUGUUACAUCGGUCGUCGUGUGGUUGCCUAUGUCGAACGAUGUCGACGUCUCGUCGUCGGUCGAUAUUCAAGUCCUCCUACUUGGUUCUGCUAAAUCUGAAAGAGAUAAAACGAAAGAAAUUAAAUGCUAGCUAAUAAAAUCAAAGUAAAAUACCUAAUAGUGGGUUGCCUCCCACUCAGCGCUUGGUUAUAGUCAUUUACCUUGACUGUGGUAGUGAUUGGCUAUUGGGUGGAGAAGCAGCUGCUUGUUGGAAAGCAAGCAUCCACGUCAUCUCUGCGCAUUCUGGACCAAGAUGCAAUGAAACUUCUUGUGGCCUCAUCAUUUCUUGUCCAUUUGUCAUCCAUCUUCUCAAGUACAUUAGAGAUAUUCUGUAGCCUUUCUUGAAUGUUGUCAAUGCUGACCUGGUGCCAGCCUAUGCUGUCAUAGGCGUAUGCUGAAAGAUCUGUCAGUUCCUUUUGCAUUGACUCUACUGUCUUGUGUAUCAGCUGCUCGCCGAUUGGUAUAGACUCGGCGUCGAUCGAUGCGACUAUGUGUUCGUUGGUCGAUCUCGGUGAGUUGCCGUCGAUCGAUUUUGGUGUUGUCCUGUCGAUCGAUGCUGAUAUUUGAUGUUGAGCUGUGAGUUGCCUCUGAAUGGCCUUGACUUCUUUCUGUAGCCAUUCUGCGUGGCUGUCUAGUCCCCUGAUUUUGUUGUCGAAUGGAAAGUAGAUGUCAUCGCAGCGUUUGUCAAGUCGUUCCUCCAUGGUGUCUAUAGCAGUGUAGAUCUUGGAUGUGAUCUUGUCAACCUCUGCUGCUGUGUAAGGAAGUAACUCCACAGGUUUCUUGCCAUCGAUCCAGGGUCCUCUUAGCCUGUCGAUCGAUGCUGAUUUUACCUGCAAAAAACUUUGAUUAGUAAUGUUUUCAAUAUCCUUUUGGGCAUCAAGUAAUUGACUAGACAAUUUGUUUAAAUAUGUCAUGACUGGUGAUAUAAAGCGGUCAUGCAUAUCCUCGUAAGUCCUCAGCCUCUCAUCCAUUGCUGAGACUUUGGCGUCGAGCGAUGUGAAGGUGCACAUGUCGAUCGAUGUGGCUGGAUGUUGGUCCUUCUUGCGAAUGGUGUCCAGAUCUUGCUGUAGUAGCUCGAUUGUAGUGCUUAGCCAGUCCACGUUGUUGUUGAAAGGGCAGUAAACGUCGUUUAUCCUCGUGUCGAUGUAUGAGACUUUCCAUUCAUCCCUGUAUUAUAUUGAACAUCGCGGUUCUGCAAGGAUCUUAGCUGUAGGAAGACUGACGUCGAUCGAUGUUGCACGUGGUGCGUUGAUCGAUGCUGAGGUCGUAGCUUCCUUCUCAAGUUGCUGACAUAAACUUUCAAUUUCUGUCCUCAUUUCUGCCAUACAUCUGAAAAGCUCAUUUUAGCCUCUAUCCAAAGGCUGAUGUGUUUCAUCUACCAGUGUUUUGAGCUCCUCUCCCAGUUUCUCCUGGGCUCCACAAAUACCAAACACCAUUUCAUCGAUUUCUUCUUUGGUAUAAAGUUCUGGUGCCAGUCUUGUGAGUGUGAAGGAAGUGGCAUGUUCUGGAAGACAGAUGUGGCUCUCUUCAAAAAGAGAUGCUCUUUCCAGUAUUUCACUGAUGUUGUCCUUUGUGACAGGUAUCAUCUCACCAGCUGCGCUUCGUGCGUGUCCACGCUCAUCUCUGUAGACUCCAUAUUUGUCCCUUUGUUCCCAAGUGAACUUUCUGGCUCCAUACAUGUCGAAAGCGUGGUUCCCAAAUUCAUACCGUCUGUCGAUCGACGUCGGUUCAUCCAUAUCGAUCGACGUUGGUGUUACCCUGUCGAUCGAUGUCUCCGAUGUACCGUCGAUCGAUGCUUGUCCUUUUGGUUGGCGUGAUAGAUCUGGGUUGAUCUCUGUUGUGGCGACUCCUGCGUGGUUGUUAGAAUCUGUUUGAAUGACGUCUGGAGUGCCACGUUGCUGUGAGAAUAGGUUGUCAGGUCCAUUGGCUACUUGAAGGAUGUAUGCUAUGUCCUCUCUGGACACUUGUAAAAUCCUUCCAUCCAUUGCACGUGCGUUGCCAUCUGUGUCCCUGAAAAUACCAAAUUCAUCAGGUGUUAGAAAACCGUAAUCAAUGUUUGCAUAAUCAUUCAAUUUAGAAAUAGAAAGAUUAGGGUUUAGAGUAGGAUCGAUCGAUGUAGAUACAAUUACAUCGAUCGAUGGCAGUGUAAUUUCUGCAGAACUUUUGUUCUUGAGAUGAUUGCUCUUCAUGGAUUUUUCUGUUGAUGUAGAAGGAAGAGUGUUCAUCUUUUUUGCUUGUGUGUUUGCUCUUAUGUGUGUAGGUGGUUUCGGAGGUGCAAAACGAUUUAUAUAGGUAUCUAUAAACCUAGUUGGGGAGGGAAUAUUCUCCUGCUCCUGGAUUUUCGCUGCGAUGCGAAUAUCGAUCGAUGUUUCUGUGUGGGUGUCGAUCGAUGUGAGCGGUUGUUUUGCUGGACGAGGGUGGGUAUCGACCGAUGUGGAGUGCACUUCGGCGAUCGAUGUUGGAAACGUGUUUGUGAACUUAUGUGUUUCAAAUCUUUCAUCCUGCAAAGACAUUUCUAUUGCACGUUCUUUCCAAUAAUCCUCAUCGUAUUCCUCUGUAUGUUCCUCGUUAGAUGAAGUAAUUACAGUGUCAACUGCAAAACUUUCAUGGAAACCACUGUCUGCCCAACUGCCUAUGGAAUAGUCAUCAUGUCCUCUCUUUCUUGGAGGUUGGAAGUCAAAGUGGGGGUAACAAUGAUUAGGUGAAGCAAAAUGGUCAACUGGGUGCAUUACGUCGAGUGACGUGUUGUUGCGGUCAUCGAUCACCAUCGAUACAUUAGAAUCGAUCGAUGGAAAGGUUGGGGUGUCGAUCGAUUCCGAGUACUCUGUUUCGUACUCCGAUUCAUACUCUGCUCCACAAUGGCAUGCGCCAAUGAAGCCAAAUUCUUUCCCAUAAUCCACAGAAUUAAUGGAUGGGGUCGUAGUGGAUGUUUGGGUGUAUGAGCGUUAGACACAAUUUGUUUUUGUUCAUAUCACAUACAGCUCCUACUGUAGCUUGGAAAGAUCUUCCAAGCAGAAGUGAAGAGUUCCAGUUAAGCUCGAUGUCUAAGACAUGAAAAUCUACAGGGACAAGGGCAUUACCAAUCUGUACCUCCAGAUCUCUUAUGAUGCCUCCUGAUCGUUUCUCUGAAAGAUCCACGAAGGUGAAGGAUUCUGUUGAGGGUUCGAUGGUCAAACCAAGCUGGUCUACCAUGAUCCUAGGGAGGAUACUAACUGAUGCUCCUGUGUCACACAUUGAAUGGGGAAAUUCAACACCCUUGACUACGCAUGGUAUUGCAAACUUCCCAGGAUCACUCUUCUUCGUCAAUGUGAUCCUGUGUUUCAUCUUCUCUCUGACAUGAUGAAACAUUCUCCUAAUGUCCUCCUCAGUUACCUUUGUUUCUCUAAAGAACAUCCACAACCGGUGUGUGAAGUAAGCUUCAUCAAAAGGUUUUUCGAUUGGGAUUCUGAUGACUCGUUUAGUGAAACCAUCCAUCUCAUUAUCGUUAGCUUCCCUCUUAAGGUUUUUAGGAAUCUUCUCCUUUCUUUUCCUUAACCUUCUCCCUUCAGAUUCUUGUUCUUCUUGAACAGAUUCUGGUGAACUAUUUAAAGGGUUGGGUUUGGGUUCGGGUAGGUUUGCUAAUGGUUUAGGUGGUGGUCUGAGUGCAUUGAUGUAAUCAUUAUCGAUUGAGGGUAACCGCACUCGGUAUGUCAGAGGUGCCUGUCGAUCGAUGGAAGGUGUGUUGUGACGAUCGACGUCGGACUCACUCUGUCGAUCGAUGGUUGGCUCAACCGAUCGAUCGAUUUUUUCAUAGAAAGGGGAGGGUGGGUGAGGAUGCUUAGCUGCGAAUUCUUGUGAGUUAGAAUUCGAACCGCAUUGCAUUCAGUCGAAUUGGCACACGACGUCGAUCGAUGACUGGAGUAAUCCGUCCAUCAAUCUUCAUCAUGGUCUGUCGAUCGAUGCGAGUUCAACGACAUCGGUCGACACCAUUAGGAUCCGCCGAGACUCAUGGAGCUUUCGAUUUUGAAAUCUCCUUCCUCAAGCUUUUCAUUUCUCACCACUUGCCAGAAAUCAUCAUCUAUGAUAGCAUUUACGUGGUGUUUUCGUUUGUCGGCUCCUGCCUCUCUAGCGAAAGCUUCUUGCCUCUUUAUAGUCUCGCCCGUCUGAAUUACUUGGGUUUCAAGUUUUCUCACUGUUGGGGUCAAAAUCGGUCACGACGGAAUCAAUGUCUAAAAGUCCGUAAAAAUCAGCAUUAACAUUUUUACGCAAAAGUAAUCUUCGUAAAGAUAUCUUUACAAAGAGCCUUGCGGUAAAAUCUUGUUCAAAUCUCAAUCGAACCACUAAAUACUGAUUGUCCGUAGGAAAACAGACAUGUAUCCAAUUCGGCCACGGACAAGCUCGAGUACGACAAUCGGACCACAGACAAGCUAAGCUUGAUCGAUACGCGGCGACCAAGCAUGCACACAGCCCGGUCGCUACGUAGCAAGCGAGCGUCCGUCCCGCUCGGUCGCUACGUAGCGACCGAGCUCGAGCCAAGCUCGGUCCCUACGUAGCGACCGAGCGAUCGUCCCGCUCGGUCGCUACGUAGCGACCGAGCAUGCGUUCCGUUCAGUCACUACAUGGCGACCAAGCAUCCAUCCCGCUCGGUCGAUCCGUUCAGUCGCUACGUAGCAACCGAGCUCUUCCGACCGAACAUGCACACUAUCCGGUCGUCCCGCUUGGUCGCUACGUAGCGACCGAGCUCGAGUCAAAGCUAGGUCGCUACGUAGCGACCGAGCGAUCGUCCCGCUCGGUCGCUACGUAGCGAACGAGCUCGGCCAAGCUCGGUCGCUACGUAGCGACCGAGCGCUCGUCCCGCUCGGUCGCUACGUAGCGACCGAGCUCGAGCCACAGCUCGGUCGCUACGUAGCGACCGAGCUUUGGCUCGAGCUCGGUCGCUACGUAGCGACCGAGCGAUCGGCCCGCUCGGUCGCUACGUAGCGACCGAGCCCAAGCCAAUGCUCGGUCGCUACAUAGCGACCGAGCGCUCGUCCCGCUCGGUCGCUACGUAACGACCGAGCGCUUGUCCCUCGGUCGCUACGAAGCGACUGGGCUCGAGCCAAAAUUCGGUCGCUGUGUAGCGAUUGAACCUUUCCGAACAUCGAUACGACACCAGUUCUUGCAUUCUCGUCAAACCUUCGAACGCUAUCUCCCGAAGACCAUAGCAAGCUCAGUCCAUGUUUCCCGCCAUUCUAAUUCAUCGAUCAAACUUAGCGGAUUAGAAACCGCGGAAAACUCGUAGUAAACGUGUCGAGUCGGAAGACGGCCCAAAGGGACCUAAAACACGACUCGAGGCCCAUCCUAUGAUUUUCCUAACCAAAAGCCCGUAAACCACAACAUGGUUUACGCUUGGCCCACAAGGAAGGAUAAAUGUCAAGUUUCCGCGGAUAAAUACGGAAGUUUUGAAGAUAAUUGUGAAGAUCAGGAAAAUGGAAUAUCUCCAUUUUUAUGCUAUGACGGCUUAAGGGCAGAAGAGUAAAAGCGUAAACCGACCUUGGAGCUAGUAUAUAAGGAGUCCUAGGCGAGGAGCAAGAAGGGAGAGAUAACUUUUUAGAUUCGGAAUUCUCUGCACUUAGAAACUUUAGGCUUUAUUCUCGACAAGUUCGGUUUCUAUGACUGGCACUCAAUUAUUAGACGAACUCGCCCCGGCAGUUUGAUCUCUUGUCCAGCUCUAUCAAUUGAACUACGUUCGGCUUGAUCCUCGAAAGGGGUACGUAGGCAGCCUUUAACAAGGUUCAGUCCGAAAUCAAUCAAAAACCUUUUCUUUAUCUAUUUCGUCUUUCGUUAUCGAGCUGCGACUCAACUAGGUUUGAGCUAUUAGGUCGCUAGAACUAAGUAACUCGCUGACAGCCUUUGCGGCCAAAGCUUUCAUGAUCUCUUGUAAUGAUCGCAACGCUCUUACGCGGACUCGAAAUAAGAUCAACUGUUUUCUCUAAACUCAUUUGUUAUCUUUUGAUAAUUUCCGCAUGUAUUUGGUCACUUGUCGUUGGCACUCGCAGAGAUCCGGGACCUCUGGGAAAUUAGGGUUUUCCUAGUUUCCUUAUUUAAACGGAAAUCGACAGUGCGAAUUUUGGUUCCCACACUCACCUGAGUCCCUAAGGUCUCGAUAUUGGUGUUCAGAUUGUUGUAGGCAGAGUCUAUCUUACCAUUGAAAUCCAUAGUGAUUUGUUGUUGUCCCAACAGCAUUCGAUCAAGCAUCUCUUCGAUCUUGCUUUCCUGAGUCUGGGGUGGUGGAUUUUGGUAGUAAGAGUUCGAGUAGCUCUUGCUGUUGUUGAAGGGUUUUUGAAAUUGUGAACUUUGGUUACUUCUUUGGCCAUUUCCAAAGAAGUUUCUGUUUCCGCCUUGGUUUCCAAAUUUUUGGAAUCCGGUACCUCCGAUGUAGUUCACAUCUUUUUCUCCUUCUGUAUCUGCUACUUCUCCUUCAGCUGAACAGACUUGCUUCCUAAGAAGCUCGUGCACCACAUCUAACUUAGCUCUUACUUCGUCCAUCUGUUCCUUCCCGAUAGAGGCUACAGACUUCUUCCGUUCAGAGUCAGUGUUUUUGGUGUUGCUGCUGUUAGCAAGGUUUUCGAUAAGUCUCACAGCUUCCAACGGAUUCCGAGUAGUGAAGUUUCCUUCACUCGCCGUAUCAAGAGCCAUUUGAUACUGUAAGGCGAGACCUCGGAAGAAAGUGCUUAGAAGCUUCACUUCAUUAAAUCCGUGGUGUGGACAGUCUCGCUGGAAGAACCUAUAUCUAAUCCACACAUCUUUGAAAGACUCUUCAGCCUUCUGCGAGAAUGUGGAAAUUUUGUUCCGAAGUUCUUCAGCGCGCGCCUCAUCGAAGAAGUUUCGUAAGAAAGCAUUCUUGAUGUCGCUCCAGGAUGUUAAAGAUCCUGUGGGUUGCUACCUAAGCCAGUGCAUCGCUUCUCCAUUGAGCGUGUAUCUGAAGAGCUUGCACUGCAAGUAAUCUUCGGGGACUCCUUCCAUCCGAAUGGCAGCGAUUAGAUCCUCGAACCGUUCAAAUGGUCCAUAGGAUGCUCGUGCGGUAACCCAGAGUAGGGUAUCUGCGACACAAGAGUGUAUUAUUGAGGCUUCAGCUCGAAAUUCUGCUUCUGGAUCUCCGGAAGUCGAAUAGCUGAUCUGUUAGAAUAGUACUCAUCUGGGCGAUUGUAGUCGGCCAGUGGUUUCGAUCGAGCGUCCUCAUCUACAGGUUGAGCAGCUCCUGUAGCAUCAGCAUCAGGGAUUACAGUUUCCUGAGCAUCUAUUUUCUGACCUGUUGCAUUACGCAGAUGACCGGCCUGGUCAUACAGGUUUCCAUUCUCAUCCUGAGUUAGACUAAUAAUGUUUACCAUUUUUGACGACACGGUAUCGAUCGACGUACGCGGUGUAGUAUCGAUCGUUGUCGAACGAUUGGGAUCGAUCGACGAUGAUGGUCUGGUGUUGGUCGACGGUUGGUUGUGCGUAUCGAUCGACGACGAAGUGGUUGCAUCGAGCGAUGUGGCAUGUUGACCUCUACGGAUGGUGCGUUCCAAAUGAGCAGGAUCGUCUGAGAACAGCAAGUCUUUCUCCUUGUUGCUUCUGGUACCCCUGGGUAUGCACCUGAAAAGACAAGAAAAAGAAAGAUUAUUAGAAAAUGGGGUAAAGAAAAGAAUAAGAAUUAAUAAAACUAAAUCUAAUGGCGAUCAAAGCUCCCCGGCAACGGCGCAAAAUUUGAUACCACUCAAAUUACCCUAAGGAGUGUUACUCUCAUCAAAAGAGGUUCAGCUGUAGUACUUAGGGCUCGCAUCCACAAGGAGCUAGGGAACAAUUAAAUCUAGUGUUUAUUAAUUCUAAAGGUUGUAAUGUUUAAAUGAAAUAGCAAUAGUAACAAGCGAGUAAAUGAUAAAUGUAACUUAGGUUGGAAAUGAUAUUAGAUGCAGGGCCACUAUUCAGGUGUUGGAGAUUAUAAUUCCUAUAGAUGCCUAACUGUUGCAUGCAUGAUAUAUUAGAGCUCAUUCGCUUAACUCAGUGAUCAGCUGUCGCAUGUACCACUGGUUAACAUACUAGAUUUUGUGUCUCACCGGUUAGAUGCAGACACAAGAGAGUGUCGAUCGAUAGUCUAUUAAGACGUCGACCGAUACACCUUUGCCAACAUCGAUCGAUUGUCAGUUGAGGACAUCGAUCGACGGGUUCUAGCCAGGCCUAUGCGCGAGUAUGAAAUACCCAACUAAGAUUCUAAAUUGGCGGUUAGCCCUCUCUAGCAAUCCUAAUAUGAUAGAUAUAUUUCAGGAUGGGAUAACAAGGGUGCUUGAAUAUGCAAUCCUAUGAUCAAGUUCUAGUUAGCAAGGCUAAAACAAACAAUGAAUACAAAUCUAUCAUGAAUAUCACAACAAGGCAGAACUAGAGUUUGGGGCUAAUCCCACAAACCUAUCUGAACCCUGGAUCUAACAGUUGAACUACUCAGACAUAGCAAAGCAAUUCAUAUCAAUAGAUAAACAGAAACUCAUAGAAUAGAUGAAAACAAAUAGAAACAAGGAGUUCCAAUCACAAGUGAUCUUCUCUCCAAAUGAAACUUGUAACAAAAGUAGGUCUAGAAAGAAAAGCUCUGUUCUUCCUGCCGUCAAAACACUAGGCAGUAUAUAUUCUACUAGGUUAAAAACUCGUCAGGGCAUUUUGGUAAUUUGGCUUGGCCUUGGUUUUUAAGUCUGCGGAAUCCAAAAUGUCGCGUCUGGUGUCCCGACAUCGAUCGAUGGUACUUGUGUACAUCGAUCGAUAUUAAUCUUCAUCUGUCGAGGCAUUUCCUGAUAUCGAUCGUCAGCACUGAUGCGCAUCGAUCGAUUAUUCUUCCUCUCGUCGACCUCUAAGUUGUCAGCACGGGUGAAAUGUCCUUUAAGCUCCAAAAUGCUCCAAAGUCAUAGCUUUACUCCGAAAUGCACCUUAACUUGAAAACAUACCUAGAAGAGUAGAAAACAUAUAUAUAUAUAUAUAUAUAGUAAAAUACUUAUAUACCAUGGAUAAAAAUGGGUCAAAUCCAAGGUAUAUCAAUAUUCUUAAGGGAAAAGCAUAAUUUUUUCAGGAUAUCUUUGUUUCCUUAUCCUUCGAGAUUCUUUCUGUUUGGGUCGUUGGGAUAUGGUGGAGCCUUGAUCCUUAUAAAGCUCCACUUUGCCUCAUGAUUCAACAAGUGUUUUGUUUUGCUUUUGCUUGUCAAUGUAACAUGGCUUUGAGAAGAUCGAAUCUUCGCGACUCCGAUAAGGCGCAAACUCGAACUGGUAAUGUUAAUGCAGAACACAUUCGAUCUGGAGAUGUGAGCGAAGCGCUUACGGAAGUUUUUCGGGAGGAGACCCAACUCCCGAGGGCUUUAACUCAAGAGGUUAAGGAUCUCUACGGGUUCGGAGGGACGUGAUCGCNNNNNNNNNNNNNNNNNNNNNNNNNNNNNNNNNNNNNNNNNNNNNNNNNNNNNNNNNNNNNNNNNNNNNNNNNNNNNNNNNNCCCCCCCCCCCCCCCGAAGAAAGAUAAAACGAAUGGUUCGGACCAUCGUCUCGGUGUUUCGGGCGAGGCGGCCGUUGCUAAGCCAUUUCAUUGGAAGUUUUCCCACUCCAAAGAUUGUACUAUUACGGAAGAACCUAAUAGUGUCACUCACUUGGUGAGGCACUUCAAACCUGCUGAGUGUCCACUUCCCUUUUUGCGGAAUAUGACUAAGCGUGAGACCUACGUGAAGAUGGAUGUGGCCCACGCUAGGGUUGUUCUUUUUGACACUUGGUCCUUGUUGAAUCUUUGGUUUGUUUUGUCUGUGCUGAUUUGUUACAUUCCAGGCUAUGGAGGCUAACAACGAGUUCGCGGCGACUUUGGAAAUGCUCCAGCAAGAUGUUCCACACUCUGACGAGCUUUACAAGAUAAAGAAGAUCGUUCGAGAGUCUGAAGCUCUGUUUGAAGAUGGCUCAGGAUCAGGAGCGAGCAAAUGCUGCUCAACUGGCCGAUGCCAAGAAAUAGGGAAUUCAGCCUUCUUCGCUCGAAGCUCGUCUGCGGGUUGUGAGUAAUGAGAGGAAAUCGACCCUCGAGCAAGUUUCCUUUUUGGAAGCGAAGGUCUAGUCUUCUGCUAAUAAGUUUUCUGACGACAUUCGUCGCGCAACUUAUGACGCCAAAAAGGCUCUGGCGGACAGCUACUUUGACGUGUUGGUAUCCCUGAAGGAAAAGUGGGAGAAGAAGAAGGCCGCAACUGAUUGUGAAGCUCGUCUCAGUGAGGUUAUGGUGAACAUAGAUCUCUUGAAGGAAAUCAUGAAUAACAAUCUUCUGGCUUCGGAUGAGUUGUUGCGACUUCGAACAAAGGAGAUUGAGCUCGGAUCCGAGCUUGAUGUAAUGGCGGUUUUGGAUUUCUCCGUUGGGAAGCUCGAUCUGCCUCAGAUUUCGGAGGAUCUGCCAGAGGAUUUCUUUGCUAAGGUUCCCUCUGCGGUGGACGAUGUGAUGAAGUGCUCGGGUAGUCAGUUCGAAGAUGGCGAAUUUGGCAUUGAAGAGUAGUUUUAGGGUUUUUCUGUUUUUGUUUUCCCUUUUUUGCUUUUUGUUGCUUUAUUUAUUAUUUAUAAAGACGGGGUCGUGAGUCCCAGUUUGUUUGCUUUUAUUAUUUGGUUUUUGUGGGGCCGAUCUUUUGGGCCGUGAAUUGAUUUGUUGUACAUACUUUCGUCGAAGGUUUUGUUGCAACAAAAGAUUUUGUUAGCUAGUUUUGUUGCGCUCGUUAGCGGAGUUGGCCGCAACCGAAGACUUGAUCAGGGUCUCCGUUUCCGGUUGACUCUUACAGUUUUACGAUUUGUAGAUAUAAGAAAUCUGAUAUGCUCGAACUGCGAUAUCAAAGAGCUAUAUUUAUUAAUAUGUCGGAUUUUGUUUAGUUACAAACUUGCAAAAGAAAAGCAGUUUAAUAUUUUUGUGCCGUUGUUGCUCGGGUGUUACGACGUGCUUCUUCUGAGUUUUGUGGUUGGAGGGUGACUGGACUCUUGUCGUGAGUUGCCUACGUUCCUUCGUCGAGGGAUCAAGUCAUAACGUAGUUUGAUUAUUUUCCCUGAGACAGGGUAUGUUGGUCGGUGGUUCGUGUACAUGGGUACGUUUGUUGUUGGUUUAGACCGCUCGGCUAGAGGUGCUGCUCGAUGUCUUUGAGGCUUGCGAGGUAGCAUGUUCUGGAGCUCUUCUGACUUCCUCUGAUAGUCUCGACUCCUUUCGGGUUUGGGAAUUUCAGGCAUUGGUGAUAUGUCGAAGGAACUGCCUUCAUGCUAUAUACCCAAGGACUCCCAAGGAUCACGUUGAACGGGGCUGGACGGUCUAUCACGAUGAACUCUACGAUUUUCCUGAUUUCUCCAGCGGUUACUGCGAGUUCGAUUAAUCCGAGGGAAUAGGUGGUUUCUCCUGCGAAUCCAAUGAAUGGUGUUCGUUCUUGUUUUAUGAGUGCUUUGGUGAAUCCCAUUCUUUUGAACGCGUCGUAGAAGAGGACAUCGGCCGAGCUUUCGGUGACGAUCAUUACUCGACAUAGUUCGCAGCCGCCGACGUCGAGUCGUAUUUCAAGGGCAUCGUCAUGUGGUUUAUCGAGAUUUUUGGUCUCGUUUUUGUCAAAGUUGAUUUCAUAAUCGGGGCCUGAUAGGGGCUCUCUUAUUCCUACACUGUUUUCGGCUCUUCGUUGGUACGCUUUGAUCGAGUUGACUGAAUUGCAGAACUUGGAGCCUCCCUAAAUGAAGUCGAUUCGUUUUUUGCCUUUCUAGUGGGUCGGGAGAUUCCAUCUCUUAGUCAGUGGUGGUCGGUAGUGUCUCUGCCGCCCCCCCCCAGACAGAUUUUGAUUACGGGUUUGUAUUCUGUCUUUUUUCUGAAGUUGUAGGGCAAUCGGUUUUCUAAUAGCUCGCAAAUUUUGGUCAUUUUGUUCUUUCAUUUGAAGUUGGGGAUUUUUCUGCGAGGUGACUCUGUGUCUAGGUUGUAGUCAUUGACACUGGGAGGGGGAGUGGCUUCAUCGGUUUUUUCCAAUGUGCGGAUUGCUAUUGUGAUCUCGAAACGAAUUUUCCCUUCAGUCUGGCUCUUGAUUUCGUCGUUGCGUUGUUGUUAGGCCCCCAUGAAAUCAUGUCGACUCUUUUCUUCGGGGCUGGGGGUGGAGAGCUUGGUGAUUCCUGCUCGAUCUCCCUGCCUCUUUUGUUUGUUGGGACUUUGGCCUUUCGGUUGGAUUUCGGAGUCACUGGCUCUUCUUCUUCUUCUUCGGCUUCUUCGUUGUUUUUCUUAUUUUCGUUUUGAUUGUGAAGUGCGGCUCGACAUUCUUCGGUCGAAUGACCCUUGCGAUCAUGGAAAGCGCAGUAUUUGCUGAGGUCUUAUGUUGAAGACUUUUGCGGCGAAUCAUUUAUUACAUAGGAAUGUUUCCCUUUGGUGGUUGGUUCUUUAGGAGUGGCAGGCUUUUUGGUUGUGCUGUUCUUGUUCGCGCUAUACUGUUCUUUCAAGGCUGCGACCUCCUCCUUGUGGGUGGCGAAAUAAGAGGCUCGGUGUAGGGUGUCAUCCAACGAGAUAGGUGCUCGUACCGCAAAUUCUUCCCUGAAUUUGGAUGAGAACCAGACGCCAUUCUUUAGGGCCGCGAGGGCAACGACUUCGUUCGGAUGUGAGAUCUUGGCCUUGAUUUCUCGGAAUUUGUUUAUGUACGCUCUUAAUGGCUCAAAAGGCGCUUGUUUGAGAUUCCAGAGAUCUGCUUCGGUAACUCUUGUCUCUAUGAAGACUGAGUAUUGUUUGAGGAACGUAGAUGCCAACUGGGUGAAAUUGUCGAUUGAAUUUUCUUAUAAUCCUGCGAACCACUCGAGGGAGGCCCCGGUGAGGUUCUCGGCGAAGAAGCGGCAGUAACCUGCUUCUUUUUCGUCGUCGGUGAGGUGUGAUCUAGAUAUUGCUAGACGGAAGGCUCGUACAUGCUCCUUUGGGUCUGUGUUUCCGGCGUAUUUGGGGAAUUUCAGUUUCCCGACGUGAUGCAGCCUUACACUGGCGAUUUUGUUUGUGAACGGAGUCCUUCUCGUUUCCUCGAUGACCAUGUCGAUAUCGGGUGCAGAACUCAUUGCCAUGUUCACGAUCGCAUAUAUCCUUUUGAGUUCGGAAUCGUUCCUUUCGAUGUAAUUCUGAAACGUCCCAGUUUUGCUUGGGAUCCCUAAGUCUUCCCUUUGGGGGUCAAUGUUGACGGGACCGCUAAGGUCGUGUCUCCGAACUUGUUCGGUUUGGUUAUCAAGCCCUGCUUGAUGGAAGGUUCUCGUUGCGGAUGGAGUUUGAUUCUCAGAGAUAGAAUGGUUCGGUGGUGGGAUCCGUGUCCUUGGCUCCCCCUGCCUUUCCGUUGAUCCGUUCUGGAAUUGGAUCGGAGUGCUUUGUGGGCGUUGGAGCCCAGUGUUGAUUUCGUCCAAUCCACUGUAGCUUAAGCUUCGGUGGGUCAUGCCCUGUGGCUGGGGUCAUUGUGAAUUUUCUCCUCUGUAGCGCCCAGAUCGAGCGCUCGAGAUCUCUGGAGUAUCGAACAGUCUGGUGCUUUGGGGGUUGGACGUCGCUCUUAACGGAUCAAGGGGCGUUUGAUUUCUUUCUCGAAUAUUUGCAGCUCUAUGCUCUGCGAGUUCUCUUUCAGCUUGGUCCAGUCUGUUAGCAACUGAUUGGUUGGCGAUCCUUUGAUUUUGAAUCUCGUCGAUUAGAGUUGUCAUCAUCCCUCGGAGUUCGGUUAGUUCUCCUCGAGUUUAGACUAGAGGAGUCGGCGAAAUCGGUCUGGAUUGGGAUCGGGAUAGGUCGUCGGAGGAUGGUCUAUCACCGGGGCGGUUCCAGACUCGAGGGCCAGCUCGUUCCGAGAUUGACGUCUGAUUGAUCGGAAGAGAUCGUUCUUGACUCGAACUCCCGAUUGGAGCGAUUCGUUGCGUCUGGGCUGUUUCGGUCGCGUCAUUGGCUCCCGCUAACCGAGUUGUUGUUAUUCCGGUUCUGGAGUCGGGCCAGAUAGGAUCGAUCUCAUUGACCCUUGAAGGACCGGUUCCGGUUGUCUGGUUAGGAUCCAUAGUCGCGCUUAGGAAACUUAGAUCGGUUUCUUAGCAAAGAUGUUUUUCGUUUAUCUUCCCCACAGUCGGUGCCAAAAUGUAGAACCUAAAAUCUACACUAAGUAUUUGAUAGUGAUCGGGAGUUUGAUCUAGGGAAGAUAAAAAAUAUAGGCAACGAUAUCUUUAGAACACAACGAUGUUAACAGUUUACAGUAGGCAAAAAUGGACUUUAUUGAUGAAUAGGAUCGAAUAAAAUAAGUUGAACUAGAUAGAAUUACACAAGUGAGAUCGAUAAAGGAAAGGAUCUAAGAACAGGGAGAAAACAAGGUCGAUGUAUGUGUGUAGCUCUCUCUAAGGUUUUCAACGUGCCUUCCUCCGUGUUCCUCCUUUUUCUUUUAUAGUAAGUCGAUCCCGUGAUGUUCGUAACGGCUCCGAGAUCUCCAUCUCUUGUUCCGCGAUAUCCGCGACCUCGGCAAGACCUCUUCGAACUCGAUUAUUUAGUGUGGGCUUCAGCUCCCUAAGGCCCAUGUCUUUGGUCGCGGCCCGUUAAGGUAUUGCCUAAAAUUGAGUCCAACACCGGUGGCUUCUGGUAGUAGGAACUUCCAAAAUUCAUGUUGUUGCUGUAGCUGUUGUUGUAGGGUUUCUGGUACUGUGAAUUUUGGUUGAAGUUACUCCUGUUUCCAUAGGAGUUUUUGUUUCCACCUUGGUUUCCAGAACCUUGGAAUCCUGCUCCACCAAUGUAGUUCACUUCUUCUUCUUCUGCUCUACCCUCUACAGCUUCUGCAUCUUCAACAAAGCUGACCUGCUUCCUAAGAAGCUUGUGAACACUGUCCAGUUUUGCAUUCACCUCAUCCAUCUGAUCAUUCCCAAGGAUGGUGGCAGAUCUCUUCCUCUCAAAAUCAGUGUUGUUGGUGAUGUUGCUGGAUGCUAGGUUUUCAAUAACCUUAACUGCCUGUUCUGGAUUCCUGUUGUUGAAUGUCCGUUGCUGGAAGCAUCAAGAGCCAUCUGGUACUGCACCGCGACGCCUCUGUAGAAAGUACUGAGCAGUUGUACUUCAUUGAAUUCAUGGUGUGGACAGUCUCUCUGGUAAGACUUAAAUCUGAUCCAAGAGCCUCUGAAUGAUUCUGCAGGCUCCUGAGUGAAUGUAGCAAUCUUGCUCCUCAAGUCUUCAGCACUUGCUUCAUCAAAGAAAUUGCAUAAGAAUUCAUUCUUGAUGUCGUUCUGGGAUUUAAGAGAUCCUGGUUGUAACUGCUUGAGCCAAUGCAGAGCUUCUCCAGAAACUGAGUACCUGAAGAGCUUGCAUAACAGGUAGUCCUCAGAGACUCCCUCGACUCUAAUAGCAGAAAUCAGAUCCUCGAACCUCUCCAGAUGGUCCAUAGGAUGCUCGUGGGAUAAUCCAUGGUAGGGUAGCUGUCCCACAAGUGUGUAGUACUGCGUUUUCAACUCAAAAUCCCUCUCAAUGGUGGGAGGAAGAAUGGCUGAUCUGUUGGUGUAGUAUCAAUCUGGAAGGUUGUAAUCAACCAACGUUUUGGGUUGCACAGCUUCAUCUACAGGUAAGGUAGUACCUGUAGCAGUAACAUCAGGCUCAGGGAUUGCAACCCCUUGAGCAUCUAUCCUCUGACCUACUGCAUUACGCAGAUGACCGUCCUGGUCAUGCAGGUCUCCAUUGUUGUCACGUACAAGUACCAAAGGCGUAACCAUCUCUCGCAGCUCAUUAUCGAUCGAUGUCCGAGAUGGAAUGUCGAUCGAUGUCGGGUGGAUGAUGUCGGUCGACAAGUGUUAGGGGAUUUUUGUGUAGGCUCCUGGUGAGUAAUACAGAGUGUUGCACAAGUUGGUAAACUAGGUAAGUUUAUAGGUAUUUUGUGAGGAUUUAGGAAGGAUAAUAAAGAGAUAAGCUUCAAGAGACUUUUAUUAGAUAGAGUAAGCAAGAACAAGAGAGGUUACAAAGUAUUGAAUAAGAACCCUAGUUCUAGCCGUCUAGUUCUAGUCUCUAAGCCUUGGGGAAGUCGAUCCUUUGCUUUUGGGUUUUAGUAGUCCUUAUAUAGUCGUUUAGGAGUCGGUUUCCUUAGGUUUAACUCUUCCAUAUUCGGAAAUAUGGAAGGUUCUCCUUAUUGGAAGUUAUCCAUUUCUUGGAAGGGAGCUCGGUUCCAGAGACCGAACUCAGGGUUACUUCUAGCGGGGACCUGGAGUGUUCCCUUAUCGGGGACCCGAGGGUCUGGGUCCUACAUGGAGGCUGGAGGAAAUGAACCCGGAGUAUUUUCCCCAACAGUUUGUCCUUAUUUCUCGAUUUCGUCAUCGAAGUCGGGGAAUAACCUGUGCACUCAAGUCAACCGGAGUUGCUUCCCCUUAGGCAGGACCCCGUUCCGCUGGUCUUGCUAGCCUGGGUUCCACUCAAGCCGGAACUCAUUCUGAACCCAGGUGAUGGUUGGUUCCUUCGUGUUUGACCGGAGUCUAAUAGUAAUUUCUCUUAUCUCCUGGAGACGAUGAGGCUGGAGCGCUGAUGUUUUAAAUCACGCACGGGCUGGAGAAUCGGAGAGACCAAGGGAUCUUUCCUGCUUUUUAAAGAUUCCUUCCUAUAAUAUCAGAUAUUCGACUAAUAUUUCCUUUCCUUUGCAAAAAGGAAAUAAUUUUUGAAUUUCGAUUUUCGAGAUCUGCUGAGAUGUACGACUUCCUCGGGAAGACUUUCAACGGCUUCCCUUCCUUCCGUAUAUAUUCUUCUGCCUUUUCUUCCCUGUUUCUGCGCUCCUUGCUUUCCCAUAUCUUCGACUCAUGUACUUUUUCUCUUCUCUCUUUGGUUACACUUUUCCAGCUUUAGCCCUCGUGAUUUCCUAGGCCCAUAGUUUUUCAUUUUUCUGUGGUCGCCAGUUAUCGAUAUAGGAACCGAUGGAACAUGUCCAAACGAUCUGCCUCUCUGACACCUUCGAUGAUCAAUAGGGCCGAUUCAAAGAGAAGAAUAGAUUCUCUGGUUCUCGAUCCGACAGCUCUCCUGAUCCGGGCACUGGAUCGGAGCAUGACCUAGCAGCCCCCCCUUCCAUAUGCGUAUGCGUCUCCUCCGCCGAUAGGUCCUGCAUCUUCCGUGACCGAAGAUGACCUGGUAGAAUGGUGGCGGAAGUAUUCUCUUUCCUCCUCCACUAUUCUUCGGAUACCAGCACCAGAGUAACGGGCUCUACCUUCAUCCCAGGGCAGAUCGCCGUUUACGAGGCUUUCUUCGAUAUCGGCUUUAGGGGUGUGAUCCCAGUGCUUGUAGCGAGUUUAUGCGAUUUCUUCGGGAUCUCUCCUUCCCAGCUGAAUCCUCCGUCCUGGAGAUUACUCGUGGCUAUUCAGAACCUAGGUGACCUGGAGAACUUAUCCUUCAGGAUUAAUGAGGUUAUGUUCUCUUAUCACUUGGCUCCUUUGAACGGAAAUGAAGGUCGGCUUCAUCUUCGUCCUCGUAGCGGGUUGCCUAUUGUGGAGGAGCUUCAAAAGGGUGAUCGUAAAGGGUCUGCUUUUAGUAAAAAAUGGCAGGAACAAUAUGUUUUCGUGAUGCUUCCUGGACACUCCUAUCAUUGGACCUUCUUAGGUAGGUCUAGGGGAUAUGCGUGGUUUAUGCUGCUUUUCGAUCCUCUAACCCUCUUAUUAUGCUUCCAGCUGGAAUGCACCCCGUUCUUCCGGAGGGAGAGGAUACCGUUUUUCGAGCACGCCAGCUUCCUCUUGAUCGUCCUCAAGUACCUUGCCUACUUAGUGACAGCGCGUUACAUCGUAGCAGCUUGUGGGGUAAGCGUCUUUUGAUUGGUGUACUUUGAAUGCUCCGCUGUUUGGAUUCCUGAUGAUUGUUUAUGCAGGGAAUAUGUCUGGGAAUACUAGCAACGAUCCUUUUGCGGCCUAUCAAGAGGCGGCCAAGGUGAUGUCUUCAAAGAAGGGUUCCGCGAGCAGGACCGUAUCCGUAGACGACCUGAUGAUUACCAGUAGUCGUCGAGUGGUGACAGUGAAGAUCGAACAUUCCGCCCUGGUUAAGACCAAGAAAUCUAGGGGUGGGGGUAUGGCGACCCGAUCAUUGCGCCAGUCAGCCGAGGUUGCGCAUUCUGUGGGAAAUCUUGCUACUGCUUUGUCUAACUUAAACGUCCAGGUGUUUCCUCAAGAUGGCACCAUUCUUCCUCCAAGGGGGACUUCUUCUGGUAUGUUGUAAUGCUUCUGAUCUCUUUCUAUUCCGGUUUCUGAUGGGAGACUGUGGUUUCCAUGCAGACUAUCUCCCAGCUGUUUCAUUUUGGAGAGCAGCUGUCCAUUGAGGGCUCGUUGGUUAGCCGAGAAGAGCUGGAUGAUCUGAAGCGUCAAGUUUUGGAGGAGACGGCUCAGCGCGUAGCCCGUGAGAUGGAGAUCCGUGAUCUCAAAGACAAGUUGAAGGAUGCGGAGAGGGCAGCCGAAGUAUCUUCUGCGGAUGCGUUGAGUAUCGGCAAGAAGAACCAGGAGCUGGAAGAGGCCAUGGAAACUCUGAGACUCGAGAUGGUGAUGGCCGUAAAUGGGGCAAGGGUCCCCGCUCGGUGGAAAUUGAUGAGAGAGUGGCUACAGAAGAAGAGUAACCAAUGGGACAUGAACAAGGCUUUGGAACAAUAUAAAACAGUAGCUCUUGAGGAAGCUCAGAACAAAGGUGCUCCGGUUCCUACGUUUGAGGACAAGCCUGCUGUUCCCUAUGUGUCCGGGAUGGACAUAGAUUUGAGGCCUUGGGGAUCUUUGGUACCACUCAAAUUACCCUAAAGAGUGUUACUCUCGUCAAAAAAGGUUCAGAUGUAGUACAUAGGGAUCGAAUCCACAAGGAGCUAGGGAACAAUUAAAUCUAGUGUUUAUUAAUUCUAAGAGUUGUAAAUGUUUAAAUGAAAUAGCAAUAGUAACAAGCGAAGUAAAUAGUAAAUGUAACUUGAUUGGAAAUGAUAUUAGAUGCAGGGCCACUAUUCAGGUGUUGGAGAUUAUAAUACCUAUAGAUGCCUAUUUGUUGCAUGCAUGAUAUGUUAGAGUUCAACCGCUUAACUCAGUCAUCAGUUGUCGCAUGUUUCACUAGUUGUUAGGCUAGAUCUCGUGUCUCAACGGUUAGUAUGUUGACAACGAAAGAGAACAUGUUUCACUGGUUAACAGGCUAGAUCUCGUGUUUCAACGGUUAGUAUGUCGACAACGAAAGAGUGUCGAUCGAUGGUCCUAUUGGGACGUUGACCGAUACACCUUUGCCUACGUCGACCGAUAGUCAGUUGAGGACAUCGAUCGACGGGUUCUAGCUAAGCCUAUGUGCGAGUAUGAUAUGCCCUAUUAAGAUACUAAAUUGGCGGUUAGCCCUCUCUAGCAGUCCUAAUAUGAUAGAUAGAUGUAAGGAUGGGAUAACAAGGGUGCUUGAGUAGGCAAUCCUAUGAUCAUGUUCUAGUUAGCAAGGCUAAAACAAGCAAUGAAUACAAAUCUAUCAUGAAUAUCACAACAAGGCAGAUCUACAGUUUGGGGCUAAUCCCACAAACCUAUCUGAACCCUGGAUCUAAUAAAUAAACUACUCAGACAUAGCAUAGCAAUUCAUGACAAUGAAGAAAUGGGAAUUCAUAGUAUAGAUGAAAAGAAAUGAACACAAGGAGUUCCAAUCACAAGUGAUCUUCUCUCCAAAACUCUCUCUCUCUCUCUCUCUCUCUCUCUCUCUCUCUCUCUCUCUCUCUCUCUCUCUCUCUCUCUAUCAAAGUAAAACUGUAACAAAAAGAUCUCUCUACCGUCAAAACACUUAGGCAGUAUAUAAUCUACUAGGUUAAAAACUCGUCAGGGUAUUUUCGUAAUUUGGCUUGGACUUGGGCUUCAAGUCCGCUGGAUCCAAAAUGUCGUGUGUCCACUGUCUCGACAUCGAUCGAUGGUACUUGUGUACAUCGAUCGAUAUUAAUCUACAUUUGUCGAGGCAUAUCUUGGUGUCGAUCGACUUCACUGAUGCACAUCGAUCGAUUGUUCUUCCUCUCGUCGACCUCUACAUGGUCAGCUCGGAUGAAAUGUCCUUUAAGCUCCAAAAUGCUCCAAAGUCAUAGCUUUAUUCCAAAAUGCACUUGAACCUGAAAACAUACCUAGAAGAGUAGAAAACAUAGAUAUAUAUAUAUAUAUAUAGUAAAACACCUAUAUACCAUGGAUGAAAAUGGGUCAAAUCCAAGGUAUAUCAACUCCUCCAGACUUACCCUUUUACUUGUCCUCAAGCAAAAUAUACAUGCAGUCUCUCUGAAAGAGGUUUGAAAAUAUUAGGGACUACAGAUUUUAAAGCAUAUAAAUCUUUUCCUCAACAAUUUUGCAACCAUAUCUAAAUAGUCCUAAUCACAAAAGCACACUAUGCAAUAUCCUAGCUUGGCAACCAUUUUUAACAUAACACAACUCAUCAAUUCACGUCUGACAUCACCUCAACUGACUUUAUUUCUUAGCAUAAAUAUAAAGUGAAUACCUUGGGAGUAUCGAUCAUAGGAUGCAAGAAUUUCAGACAAGUAUCUGGAGCUGUAGGUAAAAGUUAGUUCUUAAUUUCUCUCUCUCUAAUUUUCUCUCUUGAGUCAAAGUCUACUUCCAUUGCAGGAUCAGUUACCAAGAUUGGACAGGCUUCCAUGAAUCAAAACUUAAUGGUGGUAGCCACCAAGCUCUGUUCACUAUGAAUCACUAACUAUUUUAGGGUCGAAAUUUAGAGAGAGAAAAUGUGAUAAAUAAUCUACACAAGGCGUUACCUUCCAGACCUGUCUGAAGAAUCCGAUCCCAUGUAUACGUACCAAGCCCCAAGACAAGCGGUUAUGUCAGGUUCAGUGUUGGAAAUCAGCUUUGGUUACUUCAUACGGUCAAGGCAAAUGUGUAGUUGAUAGGUUGAUCUGCUUUAGCAUCUAUAGUGCUAUCUGCAAUUAGUAAAUCUAAAAUGGUGAUAAAGAUUGGUUAGAUAUUCAAGUUUAAAUCAAUAUAAGAUUAUAGUCUCAUUUUCAAUUGCUAAGCAUAAUUUAUUAAAAUUCCUUUUAUAUAAGAAUAAAAUAAAUUAUAUCAGUAAAUCCCUCCCCAGACUUAAAUUACACUGUCCCAGUGUAACUCAGCCGGAGUUAUGAUAGAAUAAUUCAUGAUGUAAGAAAUGUAACAAGUAAGGAAAAUACAUCUGACCGGGUUAGAUAUCGAUCGAUGGGAAAGUGUUGCAUCGAUCGUCGUGUGUUUGUCUAUGUCAAGCGAUGUCGACGUCUCGUCGGCGGUCGAUAUUAAGGUCCUCCUACUUGGGUCUCCUAAAUCUGAAAGAAAUAAAACGAAAGUAAAUAAAUGCUAGCUAAUAAAACCAAAAUAAAAUACCUAAUAGUGGGUUGCCUCCCACUCAGCGUUUGGUUAUAGUCAUUUAGGUUGAUUGUGGUAGUGAUUGGCUAUUUGGUGGAUGAACAGCUGCUUGUUGGGAAACAAGCAUCCAUGUCAUCUCUGCUUAUUCUGGACCAAGAUGCAAUGAAACUUCUUGUGGCCUCAUCAUUUCUUGUCCAUUUGUCAUCUAUCAUCUUAAGUGCAUUGGAGAUGUUCUGUAGUCUAUCCUGAACGUUGUCAAUGCUGACCUGGUGCCAGCCUAUGUUGUCAUAGGCGUAUGCUGAAAGUUCUGUCAGUUCCUCGUGCAUUGACUCUAUUCUAUUGUGUAUCAGCUGCUCGCCGGCUGGUGUAGACACGGCGUCGAUCGAUGCGAUUAAGUGUUCGUCGGUCGAUCUCGGCGACUUACCAUCGAGCGAUUUCGCUCGCUUCCUGUCGAUCGAUGCUGAUAUCUGGUGGUGAGCUGCGAGUUACCUCUGAAUGGCUUUGACUUCUUUUUGUAGCCAUUCUGCGUGGCUGUCUAGUCCACUGAUUCUGUUGUCGAAUGGAAAGUAGAUGUCAUCGCAGCAUUUGUCAAGUCGUUCCUCCAUGGUGCCUAUAGAAGUGUAGAUCUUGGAUGUGAUCUUGUCAACCUCUGCUGCUGUGUAGGGAAGUAACUCCACAGGUUUCUUGCCAUCGAUCCAGGGUCCUCUUAGCCUGUCGAUCGAUGCUGAUUUUACCUGCAAAAAACUUUGAUUAGUAAUGUUUUCAAUAUCCUUUUGGGCAGUCGAUUGAAGAUGAGUUUGCCUGCAAAAAAUUCUGAUUAGUAAUUUUAUCAAUAUCCCUUUGGGCAUGAAGUAUUUGACUAGACAAAUUUUUUAAAUAUAGCAUGACUGGUGAUACGAAGUGGUCAUGCAUGUCCUCGUAAGUCUGCAGCCUAUCAUCCAUGGCUGAAAUCUUAGCGUCGAGCGAUGUGAUGGUACACACGUCGAUCGAUGUGGCUGGUUGUUGGUCCUUCUUGCGAAUGGUGUCCAAAUCUUGCUGUAGUAGCUCGAUUUUAGUGCUCAGCCAAUCCACGUUGUUGUUGAGAGGGUAGUAUACGUCGUUUAUCCUCGUGUUGAUGUAUGAGACUUCCCAUUCAUCCUUGUGUUAUGCUGAACAUUGCGGUUCCGCAGGGGUCUGGGCUAACGGAAGACUAACGUCGAUCGAUAGUGCAUAUGGUGCAUCAAUCAUGCUGAGGUCGUAGCUUCCUUCUCAAGUUGCUGUCGUAAACUCUCAAUUUCUGUCCUCAUUUCUACCAUACUUCUGAAAAGCUCAUUGUAGCCUCUAUCUAAAGGUUGAUGUGUAUCUUCUACCAAUGAUUUCAGCUCCUCUCCCAGUUUUUCCUGAGCUCCACAAAUACCAGUCACCAUCUCGUUGAUUUCAUCUUUGGUGUAGAGUUCUUGUGCCAGUCUUGUGAGUGUGAAUGAAGUGGCAUGUUCUGGAAGACAGAUGUGGCUCUCUUCAAAAAGAGAUGCUCUUUCCAGUAAUUUCCUGAUGUCGUCCUUUGUGACAGGUAUCAUCUCACCAGCUACGCCUCGUGCGUGUUCACACUCAUCUCUGUAGACUCCAUACUCGUCCCUUCGUUCCCAAGUGAACUUUCUGGCUCCGUACAUGUCAUAAGCGCGGUUUCCAAAUUCAUAAUGUCUGUCGAUCGACGUUGGGUCAUCCCUAUCGGUCGACGUUGGUGUUAUCUUGUCGAUCGAUGUCUGAGUUGUCCCGUCGAUCGAUGCUUGUCCUUUUGGUUGGCCUGAUAGAUUUGGAUUGAUUUGGAUUGAUUUCUGGAGUGCCACGUUGCUGUGAGAAUAGGUUGUCAGGUCCAUUGGCCACUUGAAGGACAUCUGCUAUGUCCUCUCUGGACACUUGUAAAAUCCUUCCAUCUAUUGCACGUGCGUUGCCAUCUGGGUCCCUGAAAAUACCAAAUUCAUCAGGUGUUAGAAAACCGUAAUCCAUGUAUGCAUUAUCAUUCAAUUUAGAAAUAGAAAGAUUAGGUUUAAGAGUAGUAUCGAUCGAUGUUGAUACAAAUGCAUCGAUCGAGGGCAGAAUAAUUUCUGCAGAACUUGUGUUCUUGAGAUGAUUGCUCUUCAUGGAUUUUCCUGUUGAUGUAGACGGAAGAGUGUUCAUCUUUUCUGCUUGUGUGUCUGUUCUGGUGUGUGGAGGUGGUUUCAGGGGUGCAAAACGUUUUAAAUAGGUAUCUAUAAACCUAGUUGGAGAGGGAAUAUUCUCCUGUUCCUGGAUUUUCGCUGCGGUGCGAAUAUCGAUCGAUGUUCCUGUAUGGGUGUCGAUCGAUGUGAACGGUUGUUUUUCUGGACGAGGGUGGGUGUCGACCGAUGUGGAGUGCACUUCGUCGAACGAUGUUGGAAACGUGGUGAUGAACUUAUGUGUUUCAAAUCUUUCAUCCUGCAAAGACAUUUCUAUUGCACGUUCUUUCCAGUAAUCCUCAUCGUAUUCCUCUGUAUGUUCCUCGUUAGGUGAUGUAAUUACAGUGUUGAUACCACUCAAAUUACCCUAAGGAGUGUUACUCUCAUCAAAAGAGGUUCAGAUGUAGUACUUAGGGAUCGAAUCCACAAGGAGCUAGGGAACAAUUAAAUCUAGUGUUUAUUAAUUAUAAGAGUUGUAAAUGUGUAAAUGAAAUAGCAAUAGUAACAAGGGAAGCAACUAGUAAAUGUAACUUGGUUGGAAAUGAUAUUAGAUGCAGGGCCACUAUUCAGGUGUUGGAGAUUAUAAUACCUAUAGAUGCCUAAUUGUUGCAUGCAUGAUAUGUUAGAGCUCAAUCGCUUAACUCAGUGAUCAGCUGUCGCAUGUUUCACUGGUUAACAGGCUAGAUCUCGUGUCUCAACGGUUAGUAUGUCGACAACGAGAGAGUGUCGAUCGAUAGUCCUAUUGGGACGUCGACCGAUACACCUUUGCCAAAGUUGAUCGGUAGUCCGUUGAGGACAUCGAUCGACGGAAAGUUGAUCGGUAGUCCGUUGAGGACAUCGAUCGACGGGUUCUAGACAGGCCUAUGCGCGAGUAUGAUAUGCCCUACUAAGAUACUAAAUUGGCGGUUAGCCCUCUCUAGCAGUCCUAAUCUGAUAGAUAGAUGUCAGGAUGGGAUAACAAGGGUGCUUGAAUAUGCAAUCCUAUGAUCAAGUUCUAGUUAGCAAGGCUAAAGCAAGCAAUGAAUACAAAUCUAUCAUGAAUAUCACAACAAGGCAGAUCUAUAGUUUGGGGCUAAUCCCACAAACCUAUAUGAACCCUGGAUCUAAUAAUUGAACUACUCAGACAUAGCAAAGCAAU